UGGCCGAGUGCCACCUCCAGGAAGAACACAGGCAGACCUCCACCGAACAGGAAAAUGAAGUAAGGGAUGAGAAAAGCACCUAGAUGGAACCCAAGAGAAGAAUCACAUCUUUCAGUUUUGGGACGGUUCACAUUACCAACAUACUCCGAAACCACAGAUGCACUUUAUGCAAAAGGAAUCCAGAGAGGUGUUGAAUAGAGCGCAACAGUGCCCAUCCACUUUUUCAGCCAUCUUGAUGGUGUACAGUAGUUGUGAUAUCUUCCAGCUGGGGCAGACGGGACCAUGCUAACCAGCCAAACCUUGAUUCCUUGGUCCAAACUCACCAACAGCAACUCCUCAAUUCGGCUGUCAGACUCUUAUUUUGACGCAAUGGAAGCGAGAGGAGCGUCAAACUUUGUGAGGAAUGGCAGGCAUGCUCUCCACAUAGCAGCAGUGCCAAGUGCUUCAAGUGCUUUUAUCCACAUGAUUCAAAACUGGAGGAAAGCCAGAGCAGAGACACAAGUGAUUCCUUAAUGAUCAUCAAUGGCGAGUGGGAGAGAUACCAUAACUUCUACACAUUUUCCAAUGGAAAUGGUCCAAAAUCCAUGGCAGAUCCACUGCUGAGUGAAACAGAGAAAAUGCACUAAGCUGAGCAUGCAUUUGAAGUGUCCCAAUAAAACUUUCCGAGAAACAGCAACUCUCUCCAGAGUUCAAUCCUCCAGGACAAUAUGCUACCUAGAAGAACAAGGUGACUAGGGAGGAUUUCAGUAUAAACAAGUUGGGAAAUCCAAACAGUGAGAGCCAUACUGCUUCGAAUGUGGGACAAGUGAGCAUUGACUGCUUUUGUUGGCACAAAUCCUCACUUGACACAGAAAGUGAAGCCAGGACCCGCUCUGAACAUUCUGCUGCAGACUGACAGACAGUAGCAAACACUUUCCAUUAUCUUACACCUGUUGAGGAAAAAUCAUUUUAAAGGACUCAAAUGAUACCAGAGUAUGGGCCUGUCAAGUUUUGUACACUUCCAUUUGAAGCAGAGGGGGUUGCCACAGAGCUACGAAACACUGCGUGAGCCAUGCAACACAACAAUAUGUCACAAAACAAAAGAAUCCCAUUGGAAAUUCCCCAAAUGUGGCCUUAAAGCCACAUACCAGAUUCAUUUAACAUGCGAAGUCCCAGUUAAAAACAAGCCAGUGCUGCAGUUAACAUGUCAGUGGCACUCUUGGAUAAAUCAAGACAACUCCGAGGCACGCAAACUGUCUGCGGCUUGUUGUGUUCUUCAUGCACAAUGCAAACCGAACCACUUGUAAACAAUCACAUGCAUCAGCCUACACCCAGUGAAAUGCUUUUUAUGUGGCUUGGACAAGGGCUGCUUUCAGGACACUGGUUUAUAUCGUAACCAAGAAGAAAGCUCGCUGGUAGGUGACAGAUUUAUUCUAAUAUUGACUCACAAGCUGGCGAACAGUCUCUUGGAGUGAAGGCAAAUAACGGAAUUUCACACUUGUGUCACUGUAGAUUCAUCACAAAUUGGUCAAUAACUACAUGUAUGGCCUGUAUGGGCCUUUGCAUUCUAAUAUAAAACCACAAGUUUAAAAUGCCACAGUUUGUAAGUUAUAUUUCUAAGCAUUCUGACCUGAGUCAAGACACAACUGGGAUGGCUGUACUGUGCUGAGUAAACUUUGAGUGCUACAAGAAUAAUAUGUUCAGCACUGGAUCACAGGCAAUAUUAGAGGAAGAUUCUGUUAUUGUUCACAAUCAGGUACAGUACUGCAAAACAUGAGUCAGUCAAUGGAUGUUUUUUUAAGACCGCAGCACUGAGAUAUUAAACAGGCUGUUUGUUCCACUGUUGGAAAAUAACUGGUGUCAGUGUUGAAGAAAUGAGUCAGACACUAUGAGAUUGAAAACACAUGUUAAAAGCACAUAUGUUGCAAACACACAAAACACACA